rnacentral:rRNA from 1 species
GACGGACGGUGCAAGCGUUGCUCGGAAUCACUGGGCGUAAAGGGUGCGUAGGCGGCUUCUUAAGUCUGGUGUGAAAGCCCAGGGCUCAGCUCUGGAAGUGCACUAGAAACUGGGAAGCUUGAGUACCGGAGGGGAGAGUGGAAUUCCUGGUGUAGCGGUGAAAUGCGUAGAUAUCAGGAGGAAUACCGGUGGCGAAAGCGACUCUCUGGACGGUUACUGACGCUGAGGCACGAAAGCGUGGGGAGCAAACAGG